rnacentral:rRNA from 1 species
AGAGCGAACGCUGGCGGCAGGCUUAACACAUGCAAGUCGAGCGGGCGUAGCAAUACGUCAGCGGCAGACGGGUGAGUAACGCGUGGGAACGUACCUUUUGGUUCGGAACAACACAGGGAAACUUGUGCUAAUACCGGAUAAGCCCUUACGGGGAAAGAUUUAUCGCCAAAAGAUCGGCCCGCGUCUGAUUAGCUAGUUGGUGAGGUAACGGCUCACCAAGGCGACGAUCAGUAGCUGGUCUGAGAGGAUGAUCAGCCACAUUGGGACUGAGACACGGCCCAAACUCCUACGGGAGGCAGCAGUGGGGAAUAUUGGACAAUGGGCGCAAGCCUGAUCCAGCCAUGCCGCGUGAGUGAUGAAGGCCCUAGGGUUGUAAAGCUCUUUUGUGCGGGAAGAUAAUGACGGUACCGCAAGAUAAGCCCGGCUAACUCGUGCCAGCAGCCGC